rnacentral:ncRNA from 2 species
GAGAUCCGAUGUAACUGGCGACGAGAGUGGAGAUGAACCACGAUGGAGCAUCGGAACAUACGGCCGGUCGCCUGGGCAAAAGAG